UACAUUAUGAAAAAAAUAUGUAAUAUAAUUAUUAAAUCCCUUCCAUUAUAUAUGUAUAUGCAUUAACAAGAUAAGCACAUUAUAUAUAUAUUAGUUUAGGCUAUUUAUUUAUCAUAAAUGAAUAUAAAUAAUUUACUUCCAAAUUGUUAAAUUUUUAAGAUAGAGAACAUUUCCCCAUAGUUCUCAUUUAAUUUUAUACAUGAAAAAUUGUCUUAAUAACUUUGCACUGGCUAACCCAUCAACUUUGUAUGUUCAAUUGUAAUCUAAGAAAUUAUAAGAAAAUUUAAUUAUUCAGGCAAGAUAAUAGAAUAUUUUGUGGUGACCAAGGCAUGCACUAUAAGUAUUCUCAUUCAAAGAAAAAGCAUCUGAAACAGAAAUGCCAAAUCACAAUAUGUUUGUAUUAGUUAUUAUUUAAAAUUUCCAUCAUCUAAGAAAUCAAGCAACUUCUGGUUGCUUAAAAAAAUCAAUAUUUGAGUAUUAUUAGCCAACUGUACUUAUUACAGCUUGACUACUACAGUAUUACUGUACUUUUAACGAGCUUACUACCCAGUAUGUAUACAUAGUGAACAAUACAUGAUGAAAUUUACUAGGAAUGCUUUAAUGGUAUGUAGUAUCCAGAAUACUAUUUUUACCCAAGCAGGAUAGAGCAAAUUGCUGCCUCCUUUGUGAUUUAUUUUGUGAAAUUUCCUUGAACACACUUUCUGUAGUGUGUGGUGUCCUAAUUGUGUCUUGACAAUGGAUCUUGCCAGAGAUGACAUAUUUUCGACAUCACCAAUUGUAUAAAAGAAAAGAAAAUUAGUCUACAAAGUAGCCAACUGCAUAAAAGAAGAUGUUAACAUUCCACUACCUAUGUACUUAACCAUCCUUUGUCAUUUUGUUUUCAUAUGUUUGUGCAAUGUUUGUCAGCAUUAUUAUUUGUUAUGUUCAAGUCCAUUAACCUGCCACAAUUCACUCAAACUAUGGCAGGUAUGGAAGAAAGGAAAAUUUAAAUCUUGGAUUAAGUUACAGGAUUUGCAGUUCAAUGCUCACUUUAAGAAUGGUUAUAUAUAUAUAUAAAAAUAUAAAUAUAUAUAGCUCAGUAUGAUAUCUGAGAUUGAUUUAUAAGCAUUUGCUGACUUUUCGUAGACUGUUGAUACCCAUAAUGAAGAGGGUUUAAACAAAACAGCACAUUUUAAAAAAAUGUUUUCUACACUGAAAUUGUGUACUAUUGACUACAAUAUUGUGCUUGUACAGGUCUUGUAGGUGCAAUGAGAUCUUCAUAUACACAGUAUACAGUAUAUAUAUUGUCAAAUGUGUCCAACUUCCGAACACUUCUUUUUGAAAGAAAGAAAACCAUCAAAAAACAGGAAUAAAAGGCCGAAGAAUUCCAAAAUAAAAGUUUUGUAUGCAUUUAUUUAUAUUAAUUUUUCUGGCAUAAUAUUUAUUCUGCUUUAAAAGAAGAUCUCUGUGCAUACACAAGGCACAGUUUCAGCUCAUAAGUGAGAUUAGAAAAUGGAACAUUUAAGGAUUAUGUAUGUUUUAUAAACUGCAUUAAUUUUGUAGUGUGUCAUCCUCAUUGAAAGAUAUGGGUUGUUUGAGAUCUUUGCCAAGUGCUUCAAAUUGGAUGCCAAUUCUGACAAACGAAGAGUCACAAUUGGGAUGAAAGGAUACCAAGUUGGAUCCGUCGCAUUUAAAUUCUGCUUAUCCACGUUAAAGAGUUUUGUACAUAGACUUAAGAGAAUACUUAUUUCUAAUUAUAUUGUAGCAUAAUUUCUGCACAUAUUACAUUUUCGGCUAACAUACGAGCGAAGUUCAAUUUUCAAUAUCUUAAGUUAUAUUAUAGAUCCUACUUAAAGAAAAAAACGUUAGUCUUGCCAUAUUAGGGGAAAAAAGCACAUCAAGAUAUUAGAUCGCGAAAAUUAUAUACUUACCUCGGUUUAGGAAAAUAUUUAGGUCACAAUAACGUAGUUUUAUGCUAAUAUUUCAUCCUUAGGUGAAUCAUAAUCGAUAGAAAGCGAACUGGAGAAUUGGUAACCAAAUUAGUCCAUAAAUUCCAUCUCAUUUAUUUUCUACGAUCUUAAUGCUCAAAAGAACGGGAUUAAGUAAAGAUUUUGAGAGUGAAGUUUUUAUAAAUCAUAUACUUUAACUUCGCCUAUCGCCCUAUUAAAUCAUACCAUCCAUUUGAUUUCAGAGAACGUACCAACUUUACAAUUAAUUUGUAUGUUUAUAUAUAUACGCUGGAAAUUGUUUCGGAACCAAAAAUUAAUUAAAUGUAUUGAUUGAUACGGAUUGGAGAUUCAUAGUUACUAUGUAAAGUAUCCAUUAAAACAAAAAAACUUUUGUAACGCCUGCAUCAUCUACAAUUUCAUCAUCACUGAUUAUUGUUAGUUAGGUGGACUGGUUGCGGUUCAAACUGUUCUCCAGCUCGUGGUAGGAAUGGAGUAGUAGUAUAAAUAAUCAUUAACCAUGACGUAUUUGUAUAAGAACGGAUAAUGUUGUAAACUAUUGAAAAAAAUUACGGCAUCCGUUUUGCGAUGGUUGAUACCACUUAUUACAAAAAAAGUUAUUACUGAUGAUAAAAUAAAUUUUUAAAUACUGUUCUAGUUUAUGAUUUUUGAUAUAUGUUGUAUCUAUAAACCGAGCUUGUGCACAUAGAUACUGUAUUUAUUUUCGAUGUGUUUUAAUAAGGGUACGUUUCGUACUCUUAAUGUUGACUAGAUUAAUACCGAAGUAUUAUAUAAGCAGUGUUAAAAAAGACGUGCAAAAAGAAGACAUUUUUGUAAUGUUAUUUAUUUAUUUAUUUAUUGAAUUUUGUCUCCUUUUUUAAUGUCUUUUCCAAAGUU
rnacentral:lncRNA from 1 species